GGUAGUUAGUUUAAGUAAAACAAAUGAUUUCGACUCAUUAAAUCAUGAAUAUAUCAUGACAACCA
rnacentral:tRNA from 1 species